CACUCCUACGGGAGGCAGCAGUGGGGAAUUUUGGACAAUGGGCGAAAGCCUGAUCCAGCCAUGCCGCGUGCAGGAUGAAGGCCUUCGGGUUGUAAACUGCUUUUGUACGGAACGAAACGGCCUUUUCUAAUAAAGAGGGCUAAUGACGGUACCGUAAGAAUAAGCACCGGCUAACUACGUGCCAGCAGCCGCGGUAAUACGUAGGGUGCAAGCGUUAAUCGGAAUUACUGGGCGUAAAGCGUGCGCAGGCGGUUAUGUAAGACAGUUGUGAAAUCCCCGGGCUCAACCUGGGAACUGCAUCUGUGACUGCACAGCUAGAGUACGGUAGAGGGGGAUUGAAUUCCGCGUGUAGCAGUGAAAUGCGUAGAUAUGCGGAGGAACACCGAUGGCGAAGGCAAUCCCCUGGACCUGUACUGACGCUCAUGCACGAAAGCGUGGGGAGCAAACAGGAUUAGAUACCCCUGUAGUCCC
rnacentral:rRNA from 1 species